AGGCUGCAACUCGCCUGCAUGAAGUCGGAAUUGCUAGUAAUCGCAGAUCAGCAUGCUGCGGUGAAUACGUUCCCGGGCCUUGUACACACCGCCCGUCACACCAUGGGAGUCGGUAACACCCGAAGUCGGUAGUCUAACCGAAAGGAGGACGCCGCCGAAGGUGGGAUUGAUGACUGGGGUGAAGUCGUAACAAGGUACC
rnacentral:rRNA from 1 species